rnacentral:lncRNA from 1 species
GUAAGAACUGACACUAACAUUUAACAGUAACAACUAACAAUUAAGACUUAAAACACUAAUAGCAGCAUUAAGAAGAAAAAUGAACAGUAGAAAUAAGAGUGGUACUGAUAUCGGGAAAAUCGGUGAUUUAUCGAUCAAAUAUCGGUCCUAUAUAAGUCAAAUAUUGGACAAUUUCGCUGAUAUUAUCGGUACCGAUAUUCCGACCAAUAUUUUGUACCGCUAUCUCGGUAGGGGACCGAUAACUAAUAUAUCACUGAUAUAUCUUUUGAUAUAUCGGGAUAUUAACUACAUAGUCCUCAUCACCACCAAACCUCAUGUGAUCAUCUCUAAAUUCACCCUUACGAAACGAGUUAGGCCUUCCCAUAGAUGGUUCAUGGAACGAGUCAGCCCGACCCAUAGGCGGUUCUCUAAACGAACUAGACUGGCCCAGGUUCGGGCCCAUGUUUGUUUCACGAAACGAAUUAGGCCGACCUAGGUUCGGGCCCAUGUUUGGUUCAGGAAACAAAUUAGGUCGGCCCAUGUUUGGUUCAUGAAACAAAUUUGGUCGACCCAUGUUUGGUUCAUGAGGCGAAUUAGGCUGGCCCAUGUUUUGUUCACGAAAUGAAUUUGGACGGCCCAUGUUUGGUUCAUGAAACAAAUUAGGUCGGCCAAUGUUUGGUUCAUGAAACAUAUUAGGCCGGCCCAUGUUUGGUUCAUGAGGUGAAUUAGGCUGGCCCAUGUUCGGGCCCAUGAUGGGUUCACCAUUAUUAGCGACCUUAGCACUCGAAAACCUCUUAUCAUACCCGAACUCGAUAUCCCCAUCUUUAGUUUGGAACGCGUUACGGCUAGGUUUCAUGUCUUUUUCUUGGAUGUGUCGACUGCGCUUAGAUGGUUUUGAAUUGUUAUAACGCUUAUUGCACAACCGCCCGAGAAAGCAAGCAAUUGUGGAUAUCGCCACAAUUACUGCCAGCACAAUGAAAACUGCCCCAAACGAGCCAUCCGUCUGGGGGUGUGAAGGUGGGCUUGUUUCAGAAGAAACCGGGUAAACUAGCGGAGGCUGAUCCGUCUGUUGAACCGACAUGUUUCAAAAAACAAGCUAAGAUAAUUUUGGGAAUUUUUGCAAAAAGGUUUUGGCUUAGAGAUGUUGGUUGAGUGAGUGCUAAGUUAGAAUAUGAAGUAAGAAGAAUAUGAAUGAGAAAGUGAGGGGGUAUUGGAUGGAUUAUAUGUUUUGAAGUAAAAAAGCAAAUACU